CAAUAAUGAAAUUGCAUAGAUGGAUUCAGGCCUCAUUUUGAACAAUUUGUAUUUUUUUUUAUCAAAGCACUUUAAACCAGAAGAAAUUUGGGACUGUAACUUAGGUACUACCUUAAGAGCCCUUAGGUACUACCUUAAUGGCCCUUAGGUACUACCUUAAGGGACCCUAGGUACUACCUUAGCUAAACUUUAACUCUACCUCUCCCAAGCCUCGAGCCUUCCUUUGUGACCCUUACACCAUGCCAUUAUGUGCUUCUCUUGUAUGCUCAAGUGGUCUACUAAUGGUUUUUUGGUACUGUACCUUAGGUACUACCUUAAUGGCCUUUAGGUACUACCUUGGUGGCCUUCAGGUACUACCUUAAAGGACCCUAGAUACUACCUUAGCUAAACUUGAACUCAACCUUUCCCAAGCCUCGGGUCUUCCUUUGUGACCCUUAGACCAUGCCAUUAUGUGCUUCUCUUGUGUGCUCAAGUGGUCCACCAAUGGUUUUUUGGUACUGUUCCCUUGGUACUACCUUAAUGGCCUUUAGGUACUACUUUAGUGGCCUUCAGGUACUACCUUAAGAGACCCUAGGUACCACCUUAGCUAAACUUGAACUCUACCUCUCCCAAGCCUCAGGUCUUCCUUUGUGA
rnacentral:lncRNA from 1 species